AACGAACGCUGGCGGCAGGCUUAACACAUGCAAGUCGAGCGCCCCGCAAGGGGAGCGGCAGACGGGUGAGUAACGCGUGGGAAUCUACCCAUCUCUACGGAAUAACGCAUGGAAACGUGUGCUAAUACCGUACACGUCCUUCGGGAGAAAGAUUUAUCGGAGAUGGAUGAGCCCGCGUUGGAUUAGCUAGUUGGUGGGGUAAAGGCCUACCAAGGCGACGAUCCAUAGCUGGUCUGAGAGGAUGAUCAGCCACACUGGGACUGAGACACGGCCCAGACUCCUACGGGAGGCAGCAGUGGGGAAUAUUGGACAAUGGGCGCAAGCCUGAUCCAGCCAUGCCGCGUGAGUGACGAAGGCCCUAGGGUUGUAAAGCUCUUUCACCGGUGAAGAUAAUGACGGUAACCGGAGAAGAAGCCCCGGCUAACUUCGUGCCAGCAGCCGCCGUAACAC
rnacentral:rRNA from 1 species